rnacentral:rRNA from 1 species
GACGAACGCUGGCGGCGUGCCUAAUACAUGCAAGUCGAGCGAAGUUUUUCUGGUGCUUGCACCGGAAAAACUUAGCGGCGCACGGGUGAGUAACACGUAAAGAACCUGCCUCAUAGACUGGGACAACUAUUGGAAACGAUAGCUAAUACCGGAUAACAGCAUUAACUGCAUGGUUGAUGUUUAAAAGUUGGUUUUGCUAACACUAUGAGAUGGCUUUGCGGUGCAUUAGCUAGUUGGUGGGGUAAAGGCCUACCAAGGCGACGAUGCAUAGCCGACCUGAGAGGGUGAUCGGCCACACUGGGACUGAGACACGGCCCAGACUCCUACGGGAGGCAGCAGUAGGGAAUCUUCCGCAAUGGGCGAAAGCCUGACGGAGCAACGCCGCGUGAGUGAAGAAGGAUUUCGGUUCGUAAAGCUCUGUUGUUAGGGAAGAAUGAUUGUGUAGUAACGAGACACAGUAGAGACGGUACCUAACCAGAAAGCCACGGCUAACUACGUG